GACGAACGCUGGCGGCGUGCCUAAUACAUGCAAGUCGAGCGAGCGGCGGACGGGUGAGUAUCACGUAAGGAACCUCCCGAAAGCGGGGGACAACAUCCGGAAACGGGUGCUAAUACCGCAUAUCAUUCGAUGUCCUUGCGGUGCAUUAGCUCGUUGGUGGGGUAACGGCCUACCAAGGCAAUUAUUCAUAGCCGACCUGAGAGGAUGACCAGCCACACUGGAACUGAGACACGGUCCAGACUCCUACGGGAGGCAGCAGUGGGGAAUAUUGCACAAUGGGCGCAAGCCGGAUGCAGCCAUGCCGCGUGUAUGAAGAAGGCCUUCGGGUUGUAAAGUACUUUCAGCGAGGAGGCGUUACUCGCAGAAGAAGCACCGGCUAACUCCGUGCCAGCAGCCGCGGUAAUUC
rnacentral:rRNA from 1 species